CGGGGAGGUAGUGACGAAAAAUAACGAUACGGGACUCAUCCGAGGCCCCGUAAUCGGAAUGGGUACACUUUAAAUCCUUUAACGAGGACCAAUUGGAGGGCAAGUCUGGUGCCAGCAGCCGCGGUAAUUCCAGCUCCAAUAGCGUAUAUUAAAGUUGUUGCGGUUAAAAAGCUCGUAGUUGAAUCUGUGUGUCACAGUGUCGGUUCACCGUCCGCGGUGUCUAACUGACAUUAUGUGGUACGUCCUACCGGUGGGCUUAGCUCCUUGCGGGCGGUCCAACUAAUCUCCCAUCGCGGUGCUCUUCACUGAGUGUCGAGGUGGGCCGGUACGUUUACUUUGAACAAAUUAGAGUGCUCAAAGCAGGCUACCUUCGCCUGAAUACUGCGUGCAUGGAAUAAUGGAAUAGGACCUCGGUUCUAUUUUGUUGGUUUUCGGAACCCCGAGGUAAUGAUUAAUAGGGACAGAUGGGGGCAUUCGUAUUGCGACGUUAGAGGUGAAAUUCUUGGAUCGUCGCAAGACGGACUAAAGCGAAAGCAUUUGCCAAAAAUGUUUUCAUUAAUCAAGAACGAAAGUUAGAGGUUCGAAGGCGAUCAGAUACCGCCCUAGUUCUAACCAUAAACGAUGCCAGCUAGCGAUCCGCCGAAGUUCCUCCGAUGACUCGGCGGGCAGCUUCCGGGAAACCAAAGCUUUUGGGUUCCGGGGGAAGUAUGGUUGCAAAGCUGAAACUUAAAGGAAUUGACGGAAGGGCACCACCAGGAGUGGAGCCUGCGGCUUAAUUUGACUC
rnacentral:rRNA from 1 species